GGCCGGGGCGAGGGGCUGGGCUUGGAGGACGGCGAAGGUUUGGGCGAGGGGCUGGGCUGGGGAGAAGGUGAAGGCUUGGGCGAGGGGCUGCGGUCAUCAUCAUCGUCGUUGCCAUCAUCAUCGUCGUCGUCGUCAUCAUUGUCAGGUGAAGGGCUAGGCCGGGGCGAGGGGCUGGGCUUGGGGGACGGCGAGGGUUUGGGCGAGGGGCUGGGCUGGGGAGAAGGUGAAGGCUUGGGCGAGGGGCUGCGGUCAUCAUCAUCGUCGUUGCCAUCAUCAUCGUCGUCGUCGUCAUCAUUGUCAGGUGAAGGGCUAGGCCGGGGCGAGGGGCUGGGCUUGGGGGACGGCGAGGGUUUGGGCGAGGGGCUGGGCUGGGGAGAAGGUGAAGGCUUGGGCGAGGGGCUGCGGUCAUCAUCAUCGUCGUUGCCAUCAUCAUCGUCGUCGUCGUCAUCAUUGUCAGGUGAAGGGCUAGGCCGGGGCGAGGGGCUGGGCUUGGGGGACGGCGAGGGUUUGGGCGAGGGGCUGGGCUGGGGAGAAGGUGAAGGCUUGGGCGAGGGGCUGCGGUCAUCAUCAUCGUCGUUGCCAUCAUCAUCGUCGUCGUCGUCAUCAUUGUCAGGUGAAGGGCUAGGCCGGGGCGAGGGGCUGGGCUUGGGGGACGGCGAGGGUUUUGGCGAGGGGCUGGGCUGGGGAGAAGGUGAAGGCUUGGGCGAGGGGCUGCGGUCAUCAUCAUCGUCGUCGCCAUCAUCAUCAUCAUCAUCAUCGUCAUCAUCAUCAUCGUUGUCAGGUGAAGGGCUAGGCCGGGGCGACGGGCUGGGCUUGGGGGACGGCGAAGGUUUGGGCGAGGGGCUGGGCUGGGGAGAAGGUGAAGGCUUGGGCGAGGGGCUGCGGUCAUCAUCAUCGUCGUCGCCAUCAUCAUCAUCAUCGUCAUCAUCAUCAUCGUUGUCAG
rnacentral:lncRNA from 1 species